GUCGAGACAUAGCAUAGUGGUAGUGGUGCGUGUGCCUGAUGAGAAGGCCGCGGGUUCGAUUCCCCCUUCGGCA
rnacentral:tRNA from 1 species